GAGAAGACGAGGCUAAGAGGCUAAAGCCCUACCCCUUUUGAAAGGUAAGACCUCAGGCCGAAAGGCGUAGUCGAUGGACAACAGGUGAAUAUUGCUGUGCUACCCCUUGUUGGUCCCGAGGGACGGAGGAGGUUAGGUUAGUCGAAAGGUGGUUUAUCGGUUCAAGGACGCAAGGUGACCUUGCUUUUUUUUUUCUGGGUAAGAGGGGGUAGAGGAAAUGCCUCGAGCCAAUGUCCGAGUACCAGGCUCUACUGCGCUGAAGUAACCCAAGCCAUACUCCCAGGAAAAGCUCAAACGACCUUCAAUAAAAGGGUGCCUGUACCCGAAACCAACACCGGUGGGUAGGUAGAGAAUACCUA
rnacentral:ncRNA from 1 species